CUGGCUCAGAUUGAACGCUGGCGGCGUGCUUAACACAUGCAAGUCGCGCGUGAAAGGACUUCGGUCCGAGUAAAGCGGCGCACGGGUGAGUAACGCGUGGAUGAUCUACCCAUGAGUUAGGAAUAACGGCUGGAAACGGUCGCUAAUACCAAAUACGCUCCGAUUUCAACUUCGGGGGAAAGGUGGCCUCUGCUUGCAAGCUACUGCUCAUGGAUGAGUCCGCGUCCCAUUAGCUAGUUGGUGGGGUAACGGCCCACCAAGGCGACGAUGGGUAGCCGGUCUGAGAGGAUGACCGGCCACACUGGGACUGGAACACGGCCCAGACUCCUACGGGAGGCAGCAGUGGGGAAUAUUGCGCAAUGGGCGAAAGCCUGACGCAGCGACGCCGCGUGAAGGGAUGAAGGUCCUCGGAUCGUAAACCUCUGUCAGGAGGGAAGAACCGCCACGGUGCUAAUCAGCCGUGGUCUGACGGUACCUCCAAAGGAAGCACCGGCUAACUCCGUGCCAGCCGCCGC
rnacentral:rRNA from 1 species